ACUUUGCCUAAUAUACACAUUGUGAGAUAUAUAUAUGUAUAUCUCACAAUGUGUAUAUUAGGCAAAGUUG